rnacentral:rRNA from 1 species
UACGUAGGGGGCUAGCGUUGUCCGGAUUUAUUGGGCGUAAAGAGCGUGUAGGCGGCCAAGUAGGUCCGGUGUGAAAACUCGAGGCUUAACCUCGAGAUGUCAUCGGAAACCAUUUGGCUAGAGUCCGGAAGAGGAAAGUGGAAUUCCAGGUGUAGCGGUGAAAUGCGUAGAUAUCUGGAGGAACACCGGUGGCGAAGGCGGCAUCCUGGACCGGUAUUGACGCUGAGGCGCGAAAGCUAGGGGAGCAAACGGG